rnacentral:lncRNA from 1 species
CAACUGGGAAGGGACUGGGGUCAACUGGGAAGGAACUGGGGCCAACUGGGAAGGGACUGGGGUCAACUGGGAAGGAACUGGGGCCAACUGGGAAGGGACUGGGGUCAACUGGGAAGGAACUGGGGCCAACUGGGAAGGGACUGGGGCCAACUGGGAAGGGGCUGGGGCAAACGGGGGUCAACUGGGAAGGGACUGGGGCCAACUGGGGUCAACUGGGGUCAACUGGAGUCAACUGGGAAGGGACUGGAAUCAACUAGGGUCAACUGGGAAUGGACUGGGGUCAACUGGAGCCAACUGGGAAGAGCUUGGGCUCAACUGGGACGAGACUGGGNNNNNNNNNNNNNNNNNNNNNNNNNNNNNNNNNNNNNNNNNNNNNNNNNNNNNNNNNNNNNNNNNNNNNNNNNNNNNNNNNNNNNNNNNNNNNNNNNNNNNNNNNNNNNNNNNNNACGGGGUCAACUGGGAAGGGACUGGGGUCAACUGGGAGGCCCCGCCCACUCCCCCCAUUGGCCCCGCCCCCUCAGGCCGGAAGAGCGUCGCUUCGCCGUCUUCUCAUUGGCCGUGGGGCCGGACGGGCGGGAGGUGGUGGGCGGAGCCAACGACGGCUGCCUCUACGUCUACGACCGGGAGGUCCAACGCCGCAUCCUACGGGUCAGGGCGGGGUCACGUGGUGGGGGGUUGGAGCCAAUGGGGAGGAGGGGGCGGGGUCACUGGGGAGGGGGGGAGCCAAUGGGGAGGAGGGGGCGGGGUCAAUGACGCCCCAUGGAGGCCAGGUCUACCCCAUUGAGGGUCAAGGCCACACCAUGGAGGCCAGGUCUACCCCAUUGGGGGUCAAGGCCAUGCCAUGGAGAUCAGGUCUACCCCACUGGUGGUCAAGGCAACCCCAUAGAGUCCAGGUCUACCCCGUUAAGGGUCAACUCCUCCCCAUGGAAACCAGGUCUACCCCACUGGGGGGUCAAGGCCACCCCACAGAGGCCAGGUCUACCCCAUUGGGAGCCAAGGCCACCCCACAGAGGCCAAGUCUACCCUGUUGGGUGUCAAUGACUCCCCACGGAGACCAGGUCUACCCCGUUGGGAGUCAAGGCCACCCCACAGAGACCAGGUCUACCCCAUUGGGGGUCAAUGACUCCCCACGGAGACCAGGUCUACCCCAUUGGGGGUCAAGGCCACCCUACGGGUCCCAGGGUCACCCUAUGGGUCCCAAAACCACUCCAUGGGGGCCAGGUCUACCCCAUGGUAUCAAUGUCACCCCAUGGGGGUCAAGGUCACCCUAUGGAGGCCACACCCCACAGAGGCCAGGUCUACCCCUUUGGGGGUCAAGGCCACCCCACGGAGGUCAGGUCUACCCCAUUGGGGGUCAAGGCCUCCCCACGGAGGCCAGGUCUACCCCAUGGUCCCAAUGUCACCCUAUGGGGGUCAAGGUCACCCUAUGGAGGCCACGUCUACCCCAUUGUCCCAAGGCCACCCUACGGGUCCCAGGGUCACCCUAUGGGUCCCAAAACCUCUCCAUGGGGGCCAGGUCUACCCCAUGGUCCCAAUGUCACCCUAUGGGGGUCAAGGUCACCCUAUGGAGGCCACGUCUACCCCAUUGUCCCAAGGCCACCCUAUGGGUCCCAAGAGCCACCCGAUGGGGUCAAGGCCACCCCAUGGGGUGACCUUGACCUCCCCCUUCCCCCCCUUCCCCCCCCCGCAGGUGGAGGCCCACGAGGACGACGUCAACGCGGUGGCCCUGGGGGACGGCACGGGGGGGCAGCUGUUGCUCUCGGGGGGGGACGACGGGGUCAUCCGGGCCUGGGACCGCCGCUGCCUGGGGGAGGGGCAGCCCCGCCCCGUCGGCCUCCUGGCCGGCCACCGCGAUGGAAUCACCUUCCUGCACCCCCGGGUGGGCAACUGGGGGGCACUGGGAGGGACUGGGAGGGGGCGAGAGGGUGAUUGGGGGCAACUGGAAGGGACUGGGAGGGUGUAGGAGGGGAUAGGAGGGACUGGGAGGGGCUGGGGGGCAACUGGGAUGUAGUUAUGGAUGGAUAAAGUCAACUGGGGUCAACUGGGAUCAACUGGGAUGGACAUUUAAUGGGACUGGUUCAACUGGGAUGUUCUCCAGAAGCUCUGGAGAUGCACUGGGUGGCGCUGGGAGUCCUGGGGCAGGGUUUUAUGGCCCCUGGGAUGUAGCUAUGGAUGGAUAAGGUCAACUGGGGUCAACUGGGAUCAACUGGGCUGGGUUUCUGGUGGAACUGGUCCAACUGGGAUGUUCUCCAGAAGCUCUGGAGAUGCUGCGGGUGGUGCUGCGAGCCCCGGGGCAGAGUUUUAUGGCCCCUGGGAUGUAGCUAUGGACGUAUGAGGUCAACUGGGGUCAACUGGGAUCAACUGGGACGGACAUUUAGUGGAACUGGUUCAACUGGGAUGUUCUCCAGAAGCUCUGGAGAUGCACUGGGUGGCGCCGGGAGCCCUGGAAUUGGGUGUAGGGUCAACUGGGAUGUAGUUAUGGAUGGAUGAGGUCAACUGGGGUCAACUGGGAGCAACUGGGAUCGACUGGGCUGGGUUUCUGGUGGAACUGGUCCAAGUGGAACGUUCUCCAGAAGCUCUGGAGAUGCUGCGGGUGGUGCUGGGAGCCCUGGGGUGGGGUUUUAUGGCCCCUGGGAUGUAGCUAUGGAUGGA